GUGCUUGCUUUGGCAGCACCUAUAUUAAAAUUGGAAUGAUACAGAGAAGAUUUGUGUGAUCCUUACGCAAGAAUGACACAUAAAUUUAUGAAGCAUUCCAUAUUUUU